GAAUUAGAAAAGAAUAUUAAAGUUUAUUUGGUUUUAGUACCUUUUGCAUCAUGAUUAGGCGACAUUUAUUUUUGACUCAUGAAUAAGUGUUUCAUCUGACCGGUAUCGAAGUAUAUUUUAUAAUACAAGCAUUUCCAGCCUGACAGAAGUCACGGUCAUUUCGAACUACUGGGUCAACUUCAAGGACGCUUAAGUUGUAAAAGGGGUUGCCAUACAGCACGAAACCGGUCUACCAGUGAACCCCUUUUACAACUUAAGCGUCCUUGAAGUUGACCCAGUAGUUCGAAAUGACCGUGACUUCUGUCAGGCUGGAAAUGCUUGUAUUAUAAAAAAAAGAUAUUUAUUUUUUAUUAAAAAAUUUUGAAAGUAGAAGAAGUACACUAGUUUAGAUUAAAGACAUUAUUGUUAAUAUUAAUACUAUAAGGGAAGAUCUGUUAAUUUAUUUUUGAUAUUAUUAGGUGAAAGGUGCCUUUUAGUAUGGUUUGUGUUAAAACUUACAAUUUUAUUAUACAUUGAUUUCUUUAAAACAUCUUAUUUUAAUGAUUAUAAUAGCUUCUUAGAAUGUUUAAAUAAGUAAUAUUAAUAUAUGUAUUUUUUCUUGAUAAUGCUCGGACUGUUUAUCAAAAACAUUUCCUCUUUUGUGUAUAAGAGGUCAAACCUGCUCAGUGUUGUACUAUAAAUAGCCGCAUUAGCCUGAGUGUGCUAAGGUAGCAUAAUUACUAGCUCUUUAAUUGGGAGAUUGUUUGAAAGGUUUAACCAGGGCAUAAGAUUAGAUUACAUUUUUAGUUGAAAUUAGUUUGUUUGUACAGAACCAAACAAAAAAAUUUAAGACGGGAAGACCCUAGGAGGUUUAUAAAAAUUUUUAUUUUUUUGGGGCAAAAUUUUAUUUUUCAUUAAUCGUUAAGAUCCUUUAAAUAAGAAAACGAAGAUAGCUACCCUAGGGAUAACAGAGUAAGAAAUAAGUAGAGAUCCUAUCGAUUUAUUUAAUUGCUACCUCGAUGUUGACUUAAGAGAGAGUUAAUUGGCGUAGAUGCUAAUUAAACAGGUCUGUUCGACCUUUAAAUUCUUUCAUGAGUUGAGUUAAGACCGAUGUAAAUCAGGUUGGUUCCUAUCUAAAGAUGUCUUUUUUUAGUACGAAAGGAUCAAAAAAGGUUUAUAUU
rnacentral:rRNA from 1 species